AGACUUUUUACCUCCCACACUUCAGAAAAAAAACACAAAACUCACUAGUAUCUUAAUUUCUAUCUCAUCUCUCCACACCCGACAUUCACCACUUAUCUUGUUCCAGCCCAGAGAAGAGAGAGAGAGCGAGACAGAGAUUUCUUAGAAGAUGUUGUCAGAUUCAAAUCUGGGUCUUAACCAACGAAUGCGAGAAACCCAAAUUCGACUUGGUCUAGUCAUGGUGAAGAUGAGACGGAACGGAGAAGAAGAUAAGAUCUGGUUUGGUAAGAUAAUAUGGAUCUAAGAGAAGUUGCAGCGGUGGUGACGUGAAGAAGAACGGAGACAAUUUCUACCCCUCUUGUUCAGAUCUGGUUUGAGGGGCUUUGAUGGCUGAUGCUAUGAUUUUGCCUUGCGGACACACUUUUGGAGCUGGAGGAAUAGAACAAGUUAAACAGAUGAAAGCUUGCUGUACAUGUUCGCAGCCCGUCUCUGAAGACUCGAUAACCCCAAAUCUUUUUUAGGAGGUAUAUGUGAGUGACCUGAACUCAUUCUCUCUCGCUUCAAGGUAUAUAUGUGAUGAGACCGUGGACAGCUCAACCAAAGAAGAUGGAAAUGAGGAGCAGCUUGAACCAGAAAAAGCAUCGGAGGAGCAGCUUGUACCAGAGGAAGCAUCGGAGGAGCAGCUUGUACUAGCGGAAGCAUCGGAGGAAGUAUUGAUCGUUGGGGCGGGUCUUCUUACGAGAUCAAAAUCCAAGAGGUUCAACCAAGCUAUCAAUGGACUAAUCAAGGAGCUGGACUAGAAGCAAGAAGACGUGGCUCAAACCAUUUGGACGAUACUCACAGCUCAGAGUGUUCGAUGAAGGGUUAAGUGUUGCUUAUGCACUCUUUUUCCCUUGUCAAGUUUUGUCCCAUUGGGUUUUCUUGACAAAGUUUUUAAUGAGGCUUAAGUGACACUUACAAGACCCCUUUGUCACCCCAUUUCGUUGUCCAAGACCCAUCUCUUUGUCUUGGCCCAUUUUCUUUCUCUCUUGUUCAAAGUUUGCAUUUAAUGCUUUUGAAAUUUCCUA